UACUGAUCCAGUCGUAGCUCCAAAGCAAUCCACAUUUAGCUCGAAAACUGUUAAAUUCCUGCAACAAAAAAAACCAUCCAACGAUUCAAAUCAAUCGAAUGAGCGAAUUUUUUUAAUCAAAUCAUCGUGUAAAUGUGAUGACUGUGGAAUUAAUUGACCAGUGGAUAAGUUAAUUGUGGAGAUAAUUGGCCAGUGUAUUGAAGCAAACCACCUCCAAAUUGACCUAGGAAGCUAAUAAAAUGUCCAUGAAGUGAUUCAUUGUGCCCUGGAUGAAUUAAAAUAAGAAAUGGAGUGUUUCAGCAUGCAGCAUGGCCAUCAAGAAAAGCUGCUGAAGACGUGCCAGAAACUUGUACACCAAGAAGACCUUCACUUUUCAUCAGGCAAAGUUGAGCAACUUAUUCGAUGCAGUGUCAGAAAAGUUGCAUAUUUGAGAACAAAUAUGGCAUUAAAAAUCAAUGAAACUCCUACGAAGUGUAUUCAAUCGCUCGCGUAUUUUCUUAUUGAAUAAAAUCAACCAAAGGAAGCUCUAAAUGGAAAUUUUCUUCACCUAUCUCGACCUCAUUGACGCCGAACCCUUUGAUGGACGUAUUCAGCUCAAUCGUACUACCUACGAAUUGUUCUAAAUUUAUCUCGAGCUUUCCAUCAAGGACACUCGAUCGCGACAUCGACAUCGUCCGCACCAAGUUGAGCUUUUUUAUUCAAUAUUCAUAUACGACCAGUCGAAGUGUGCUCUAAUAUGCCAUUAAUCACGACGAAUUCGACACCAUUUCUUAAAUGACCCGCGAGAUAUGCACCGGCGGCCCGGGCGCAGGCAUCCAAGCGUUAAUAAAAUAGUCUCGAUAAAGCUCAUGCAUAAAAAAAAAAGCAAAAAACCUAUUCAAAGAUACGUAUACACAUCUAUAAGUACUAUUCUAAUGGUAAUCGGUCGCGGUCGCGUAUAAAA